CCUUGCCAGCCCGCUCAGAAACUUAAAUGAAUUGACGGGGGCCCGCACAAGCGGAGGAGCAUGUGGUUUAAUUCGAUGAUACGCGAGGAACCUUACCUGGGCUCGAACGUAAGAUGACUGUAGGUGAAAGCUUACAUCUCUUCGGAGCAUUUUACGAGGUGCUGCAUGGUUGUCGUCAGCUCGUGCCGUGAGGUGUCGGGUUAAGUCCCAUAACGAGCGCAACCCCUACCUUUAGUUGCCAUCAGGUUAAGCUGGGGACUCUAAAGGAACUGCCUACGCAAGUAGUGAGGAAGGCGGGGAUGACGUCAAAUCAGCACGGCCCUUACGUCCAGGGCUACACACGUGCUACAAUGGCCGAUACAGAGGGCAGCUACCUGGUGACAGGAUGCAAAUCUCCAAAGUCGGUCUCAGUUCGGAUCGGAGUCUGCAACCCGACUCCGUGAAGUUGGAUUCGCUAGUAAUCGCGCAUCAGCCAUGGCGCGGUGAAUACGUUCCCGGGCCUU
rnacentral:rRNA from 1 species